AUGGCGCCGUCGGCGCCGAGGAAGAAGCGCAAGGUGAGCCUCCCGGAGAACGAGGAGGUCGCGGCCAGGAUCUUCGAGAAGCACCGCUCCAUGGCGGCGCAGCAGCCGGCCGGCCUCCCGGACCACCAGGCCCGCGCGCUCGCCGCCGCCUACACCGGCGUCUGUGCCGCCAAGGAGCCCGUCCGGACCCCCGGCGACCUGGCCCGUCUCAAGUGCGCAUUUCCCCAUCUCUCUCAAACUUUUACCUCUUACGCUGCUGAGAUGUGCCCAUUUGGUCCGAGCGUGAAUUCUCGGUUUGGAUGGCUAUUGGUCUGUGGAAUCCUAAGUUUCAGUUCAGUUCCCCUUAAUCCCUUAUGUUUGCUCAUCUGCUGCGGGCUGCGGCCGUUGAUUUGCUGCAGGGGCGUUGGAGAUUGGGUGGUUGACGUCAUGGAAGACUCCUUUCCAGGGUCCAGCCUUGAUUUGUCUCCUCCGAGAAGUAAUACACCAGGAGAAACGGGGAAGAAGAACACACGAAACAAACCUUAUGUGCCACGGUUGAAAUCAGCUGCUUAUGCAAUAAUGAUCACACUCUACAGUGCAACCUUAGUACAAAGGGCAGCAUUUAAUCAGAGGAAAAGGGAAAAGACACUUGAAUAUGCAACAGCGGAUAUUGACAGUUGUUUCCCCCCUAGGGAAAUGGAAAGAGGGAAGGAAUUUAUGAUGAGGCAAGAGCUUAUUGAUGCUGCUGAAGCCAGUGGUCUGUCACAACAUGCAAUAGGCCCAAACAACAGUAGGAAUUCUCGGAAUGACGGUUACAGUUACACUGGAUGGAAUAGCAUGAAGACGUUAACAAAUAAGGAUCUGGUUGAGAAAAAGAGUAAUCCUGCAAAUUUAUCCGAUUCAUGCUCUUGCGACACUCACCAGAUAGAAAAGCCUCUCACAUGUUUUGGUCUGAGUGUGGAUCGGCUAGAUCCAAAAAUGCGGCUAACCUUUGACUCUGGUGUGCUUUUGCUGUUUGGUACAUGUGUUCUCUACAGAGUAUCAACAUCUGAUAGUUUGCUAGUUGAUGCUUGUCGGCGCCUUAGCUCUGCAGUGGUAUAUCAUCAAUUUUCUAUUGAUGGAAUAGAAGCAGGCAUGUCCAAUUCCAUAGCUCCUUUGAACUUAUCUGGUCCACCGUAUUACCUAACAGAAAAAGGCAAAGAGAUAGCUCUUGUUUGUCUCGCACGGUCUGGAUUGGAUGGUCCUGCAGGACCUUUAAAGGCGGCCGAUCAUCCUGCAGUUGUGCUCAGCGAUUCAGAUUCUGAUGAAUACGACAGCAGCAGUCCCCUGAUAGGUUCUGAAAGAAGUGGACUUCCAAACUCAAAAGCAGGCAGUUCCAGUUCCUUUGACAACGGUUGUGCUACUAAUUCUCCUCUUUCAUCUCGAGAAAUGUUUGGACAUCAAUCGUUUAGUGCAAUGGGUUCUGCUGAAAAGUCUUUACUAGCUAUGCCACCUCAUCAAUCUAAUGAAAGUUUUCUGAAAGCUUAUGAAGUGGUGCUGAUAUUGGAUGAUCGAGAUACUUUCGGGUCUAUUAAACACUUGCCUGUUGGAGAUGCUCUUUGGAUUGCUCGCCAUAAAGAACUUGACACGGAGUAUGUUCUUGAUUUCAUUGUUGAAAGGAAAAAUGUGGAUGAUUUACUUGGCUCAAUUAAAGACAACAGAUACAAAGAUCAAAAACUAAGACUGAAGAAAUGUGGGCUAAGGAAGCUAAUAUAUCUAGUUGAAGGGAUCUGCUUCACUACUGAGGUUCUUGAAGGAUUUGAUGUCCAAAGAACCACUGGGUAUGCUGACACUGAAAAGAAAUACGGCCACCUCACGGGCUCUAUAAUUGAUUACUACAGCAGAAACUUCUCUGCUGGUGCUGGCACCUCUCGACUUUGCCUGACCUACGACGAGUUUGUGAAGAGGUGUUCUGACCUUGAGAAGGUCACUAUGAGCGAUAUAUUCGCCCUUCAGCUUAUGCAGGUGCCACAAGUGACAGAAGAAGCUGCUCUUGCUGUCACGAGUCUCUAUCCCACUCUUCUCUCGCUUGCUAAGGCGUACACCAUGCUUGAUGGCGAUAGGCGUGCCCAGGAGGAGAUGCUGAAGAACAAGAGCGACAUGGUCAACGCGGGGGCUAGCAAGAACAUCUUCAAGCUCAUCUGGGCGGAAGGAUGA
rnacentral:rRNA from 1 species